GCGGCCGUUGUAUAACGGUAUUACCCAAGCUUCCCAAGCUUGAGACACGGGUUCGACUCCCGUCGGCCGCU
rnacentral:tRNA from 1 species